rnacentral:tRNA from 1 species
UGGCUCAGUGGUAGAGUGCUUGCCUCACAUGCAGGAAGCCCUGGGUUCAAUUCCUCAG